UGCAUAUCAAUAAGCGGAGGAAAAGAAACCAACAGGGAUUGCCCUAGUAACGGCGAGUGAACAGGCAAGAGCUCAGAUUUGAAAGGCACUUUUGUGCCGUUGUAUUCUGAAGUUAGGGUCCUGAGAAACGAUGCUUAAGUCUUCUGGAAAGGAGCGCCAUGGAGGGUGAUAGCCCCGUCUAGCAUUGACCUCAUAUAGGAUCUUAACAUGGAGUCGAGUUGUUUGGGAAUGCAGCUCAAAUGGGUGGUAUGCUCCAUCUAAAGCUAAAUAUCUGCGAGAGACCGAUAGUAAACAAGUACUGUGAGGGAAAGAUGAAAAGAACUUUGAAAAGAGAGUGAAAAAGUACGUGAAAUUGUUGAAAUGGAAGGGUAGGCCGCUAACCAUGUAGAGCCGUGUUUGGGGGGAAGAUAAAUGCUGUAGAAUGUAGCUCCUCGGAGUAUUAUAGAUGCAGUUCAUAUUCCCAUCCGAGCGCGAGGAUCUCAGGUUCUACUAAAUGGUGGUCUACCACCCGUCUUGAAACACGGACCA
rnacentral:rRNA from 1 species